UACGUAGGUGGCAAGCGUUGUCCGGAAUUAUUGGGCGUAAAGCGCGCGCAGGCGGCCUCUUAAGUCUGAUGUGAAAGCCCCCGGCUCAACCGGGGAGGGCCAUUGGAAACUGGGAGGCUUGAGUAUAGAGAGAAGAGUGGAAUUCCGACGUGUAGCGGUGAAAUGACGUAGAGAUGUGGAGGAACACCAGUGGCGAAGGCGACUCUUUGGCCUAUAACUGACGCUGAGGCGCGAAAGCGUGGGGAGCAAACAGG
rnacentral:rRNA from 1 species